AAUGUAACGAAAAUCAAUUACUAUAUUUAGUUAGUUCUACGUUGCCGGAACGACUCGGAUUUACUAUAUAUCCGGGCAAGGACUGCCACUCCAGCAGCACCCCGCUUGCAUGCACGGAUAAUGUUUUUGCUGCUACCACGGCUACAGUAACUAUAUUAAUGAAUUUCAUUGAUAUUUCAGACUUAAAUAAUCACUUAUAAACAAAGCGAAUCUAUUACAGGUGGUAUCGGCAGCUCAGCUGGUUUUUUUUUUUUUUUCUUUGAUUUAUAAAGUAAGACAAAAUUGGCAUGGGUUAUUUGUCGAAAUCUUCAAAGACCAACAAUACUUGUUAAUAAUGAAAGCUCCUACGUAGAAAAGAGUGAAACAUAAAAGAACAAUAACAUUUAUCAUACAACGUAAAAAAUAAACUUUGGGCAAUAACUUUUAUCAGGGAAUGGAAACAUUUUUUUUUUGUGACAGCUAUCAAACAAUAGAGAAAUAAACUAUCCAAGCGUUAUUGGCGAAAUAAAAAAAUAUAAUAAUAUGAAAAUAAUAAUGUCCUGGAAAAUUUCCAUUAAACACCUCGAUAUCGAACAGAUAUUUUGAGCGGCGACGUCAAUAUACCUGGAAACCGUACGUGCUGCAAUAGCUAAAUGAUCUAAUUGUUUGAAGCAAAUGGACUAAGUAGAAAGAAUUUUUUCUAAAAGCGGUCUCCCCUCGGCAAUCAAUGGCAAAUCUCCGAGUGUAUUCCGGCCAUGAAAAAGCUCCUCAUAAAAGGCAUUAGGCGUUCGGAGUCGGCUUAAAACUGGAAGUCGUUCCAUUUGUGAAACAAGUUCAGGACACAUGCCACAAAUUGUAGGAGGUGCCUGGCCAAACACCCAAAAACGGUGUAAGCGGCAAUUA